rnacentral:rRNA from 1 species
UGAGUAAUGUCUAACAAAAUUCUUGAGUAAAGCGGGACACGAGAAAUCCUGCUCGAAUAUAGGGGGACCACCCUCUAAGCCUAAAUACUCUUCAGUGACCGAUAGUGAACUAGUACCGUGAGGGAAAGGUGAAAAGAACCCCUAUUAGGGGAGUGAAAUAGAACCUGAAACUGCAUGCCUACAAUCAGUCCGAGCCCUUUUUAGGGUGAGGGCGUACCUUUUGUAUAAUGGGUCAGUGACUUAAUUUAUUAAGCAAGCUUAAGCCAUCUAGGUGUAGGCGCAGCGAAAGCAAGUCUUAAUAGGGCGAUUAGUUUAAUGAAUUAGACCCGAAAACGAAUGAGCUUACCAUGAGCAGGUUGAAAGUUGGGUAACACCAACCGGAGGACCGAACCAGUUGACGUUGAAAAGUCUUUGGAUGACUUGUGGUAAGGGGUGAAAGGCCAACCAAAUUCGUAGAUAGCUGGUUUUCCGCGAAAACUAUUUAGGUAGUGCGUCGAAUAAAUAGAUGUUUAGAGGUAGAGCACUAAAUGGGCUAGGGGGAAGAGAUUCUUACCAAACCUAAUAAAACUCCGAAUGCUAGACAUUGUUCUUCGGCAGACAGACUGUGGGUGCUAAGGUCCAUGGUCGAGAGGGAAAGAGCCCAGACCACCAGAUAAGGUCCCAAAAUCAUGAUUAAGUGUGAAAGGAUGUGGAAAUUCUUAACAGCCGGGAGGUUGGCUUAGAAGCAGCCAUCCUUUAAAGAUAGCGUAACAGCUCACCGGUCUAAUAGAGUUUCUGCGCCGAAGAUGUAACGGGGCUAAAAUCAUGUACCGAAUCUGUGGCUUUGCAAAGUUUUCGAACUUUGCAAGGGGUAGCGGAACGUUCUGUAAGCCUGCGAAGGGAUACCCGUGAGGGAUCCUGGAGGUAUCAGAAGUGCGAAUGCUGACAUAAGUAACGAUAAACGAAGUGAAAAACUUCGUCGCCGAAAAUCUAAGGGUUUCUAUGCAAGGUUAAUCCGCGUAGAGUUAGUCGGCACCUAAGGCGAGGGCGAAAGCCGUAGUCGAUGGAAACAAGGUUAAUAUUCCUUGACCUGAUGGUAGUGACGGAUUUCGUAAGUUGUGAGUUCUUAAUGGAUUGAACUUGCCGCGAAGAGGUCCCAAGAAAUAGCUCCAUCAUGAAGACCGUACCCGAAACCGACACAGGUAGAUUAAUAGAGUAUAUUUAGGCGCUUGAGAGAAUGAUGUUGAAGGAACUCGGCAAAAUGCUUCCGUAACUUCGGGAUAAGGAAGACCCUUUUGUAGGCAACUAUAGAAGGGUGGCACAAGCCAGGGAGAAGCGACUGUUUAUCAAAAACACAGGGCUCUGCUAACACGUAAGUGGAUGUAUAGGGACUGACGCCUGCCCGGUGCUGGAAGGUUAAUGCGGUUGGUGCAAGCUAACUUCUGAAGCCCCAGUAAACGGCGGCCGUAACUAUAACGGUCCUAAGGUAGCGAAAUUCCUUGUCGGGUAAGUUCCGACCUGCAUGAAUGGCGUAACGAUUUCUCCGCUGUCUCCAACAUCAACUCAGUGAAA